rnacentral:rRNA from 1 species
UAGGGAAUCUUCGGCAAUGGGGGGAACCCUGACCGAGCAACGCCGCGUGAGUGAAGAAGGUUUUCGGAUCGUAAAGCUCUGUUGUUAAGGAAGAACGAGUGUGAGAAUGGAAAGUUCAUGCUGUGACGGUACUUAACCAGAAAGGGACGGCUAACUACGUGCCAGCAGCCGCGGUAAUACGUAGGUCCCGAGCGUUGUCCGGAUUUAUUGGGCGUAAAGCGAGCGCAGGCGGUUAGAAAAGUCUGAUGUGAAAGCCCCCGGCUCAACCGGGGAGGGUCAUUGGAAACUGGUUGACUUGAGUGCAGAAGAGGAGAGUGGAAUUCCAUGUGUAGCGGUGAAAUGCGUAGAUAUAUGGAGGAACACCAGUGGCGAAGGCGACUCUCUGGUCUGUAACUGACGCUGAGGUUCGAAAGCGUGGGUAGCAAACAGG